UGCCAUUCACCUUCAACUCCA
rnacentral:misc_RNA from 1 species